GAUGAACGCUGGCGGCGUGCCUAAUACAUGCAAGUCGAGCGAACGGACGAGAAGCUUGCGUCUCUGAUGUUAGCGGCGGACGGGUGAGUAACACGUGGAUAACCUACCUAUAAGACUGGGAUAACUUCGGGAAACCGGAGCUAAUACCGGAGAAUAUUUUGAACCGCAUGGUUCAAAAGUAAAAGACGGUCUUGCGGGCACGUAUAGAUGGAUCCGCGCUGCAUUAGCUAGUUGGUAAGGUAACGGCUUACCAAGGCAACGAUGCAUAGCCGACCGGAGAGGGUGGUCGGCCCCCCUGGAACUUGGCCCCCGUCCCGGCUCCUACGGGAGGGCGCCGGUGGGAAUUCUUCGGCAUGGGCGGAAAUCUUGCGGAAGCACCGCGCGUGGGUUGAUGAAGUCCUUCGGUCGUUAAAACGUUUUUCUUGGGGAAAACCUCUUUCGUAUGUAACGUGGCCCGUUUGGCGGUACCUAAUCAAGAAGCCCCGGCUAACUACGUG
rnacentral:rRNA from 1 species